GCCGCUUAUAAGUAUAAUACACAAUGUUACCCCAAUCCUUCGUGCAACAGCGUCCGGUCUACAUGAUGUGCUUCUUUGGCUUUUUAACAAUGUUGUCAUUUCUGACUCCUCAAACGGUUCAUCACUGUUUUCUUCUAUAUCACGUGUCGUAUUCGUUGUCCUCGGCCAUAUUCCAGACAAAAAAAGUAAGCUCAGUAGCGGGUACUCAGAGAGCAUUGGUUCCGUAAAAGGUCUUGCAUUUUGAAAAAGAUAGCCUACGGAAAAAGAUGAGUUACUUUCCAAGCAUCGACAUGUGGUGUUCUCCGUAGAAACUGUAGAAAGAUCGUGUUCCCAAGUAGCUUUAUAUGUCCAUGUUGAAAUGUUUGUCACAACAAUUAUAAUCAAAGCAUAAAAGGUAAACAAAGAUUUCACGAAUCUAUAUUUAUAAAAAUAAUAGAUAAAACACGUUUGUACCAUAUAGAAUAAAAGACACGAUAUAUCAUAUGCAAUUGCUAAUC
rnacentral:lncRNA from 1 species